GGUGUGAAUUGCAGAAUCCCGUGAACCAUCGAGUCUUUGAACGCAAGUUGCGCCCGAGGCCAUUACGGUCGAGGGCACGUCUGUCUGGGCGUCGCACGUUGCGUCACCUGCCGCCAUCGUCCUUGGUCGAGGCGCAGGUGGAUAUGGCCUCCCGUGCCUCGUUUUGGUUCGCGGUUGGCCAAAAUGUGAAGUUGGGGCGACGGAAGCCGUGACAACGGGUGGUUAGCGAGCCUCCAAGGGCACGCCGCUACGUCGACUUGUCGCGUUUCUUCUGUCGUACUUGCUUGCUUCUUAGCCAUAUUCAUGUCUCGCACAUGCGUUGGUUUUCGGCGACCCCAGAUCAGGCGGGAUCCCC
rnacentral:rRNA from 1 species